UCCGGCUUAUCACCGGCAGUCUGCUCAGGGUUCCAAACUAAAUGUUGGCAACUAAACACGAGGGUUGCGCUCGUUGCGGGACUUAACCCAACACCUUACGGCACGAGCUGACGACAGCCAUGCAGCACCUAUAUAAAGACCCUUUCGAGAAACAUCAUCUCUGAUGUCGUCCUCUAUAUUUCGAGCCCAGGUAAGGUUCUUCGCGUUGCAUCGAAUUAAACCACAUGCUCCACUGCUUGUGCGGGCCCCCGUCAAUUCUUUUGAGUUUCACCCUUGCGAGCGUACUCCCCAGGCGGUAUACUUAAUGCGUUAGCUCCGGAACAGAGGGGGUUGAGCCCACCUACUCCUAGUAUACAUCGUUUAAGGCAUGGACUAC
rnacentral:misc_RNA from 1 species